rnacentral:rRNA from 1 species
CCUACGGGGGGCAGCAGUGGGGAAUAUUGGACAAUGGGGGGAACCCUGAUCCAGCCAUGCCGCGUGUGUGAAGAAGGCCCUCGGGUUGUAAAGCACUUUCAGUGAGGAAGAACGCCUGGUGGUUAAUACCCAUCAGGAAAGACAUCACUCACAGAAGAAGCACCGGCUAACUCCGUGCCAGCAGCCGCGGUAAUACGGAGGGUGCGAGCGUUAAUCGGAAUUACUGGGCGUAAAGCGCGCGUAGGUGGCUUGAUAAGCCGGUUGUGAAAGCCCCGGGCUCAACCUGGGAACGGCAUCCGGACCUGUCAAGCUAGAGUGCAGGAGAGGAAGGUAGAAUUCCCGGUGUAGCGGUGAAAUGCGUAGAGAUCGGGAGGAAUACCAGUGGCGAAGGCGGCCUUCUGGACUGACACUGACACUGAGGUGCGAAAGCGUGGGUAGCAAACAGGAUUAGAUACCCGGGUAGUC